ensembl:snoRNA small nucleolar RNA, H/ACA box 19
ACGCACAUUUCAUUGACCUGAACCCAUUGCAGUGGUGAGCAGUGUUAUUUCUGAUGUGCCAGACAACAGCUGAAGGUUAAUUAGCAGCAUUGCUGUAUAUAGUUACUGCUGCCAGUCUCCUUCAGACAAAG